CUACAACCUACGAUACAUCUAUUCCAUAGCAAAUGAUCAUACUCCUCCAGGCAUUACAGAACUGGAAGCUUUGUGAACCUCAUAAUCUAUUUCCUUAUUUCUGUGUUGGAGGUAAGGGGAUCAUCUGACCCUGACGUGCCAUGUGCUAACAAUGCGCAUUGCUUGCUGCUAGUCGUCCUUCUGUGCAGCUCUUAUUGCCUCAGUUUCGCACAACACACCAAAUUGCAUGGUUAACCAGUAUCCAGAUUCUCCGGUGACGAACGGUUGGGAGCUGCAGUAAAAGAGAAGCCGCCAUCCGUGCGAGUGAAAGCAAAGCUUGGCCCCCAGUGUGGACAGGAUUUUACCACCUGAAGAAAUUGCCUCAUCAAAAAGGCUGGCUUGGAGAUCAGUACAGACUCUGACGGGCCCUGCGUUAUCGUCACUAUCCGUGACAGCAACGCAAUUUUGAUUUUGAAUACCGUGGAAUUUUGGUGACACAGUUUACGCGCAAUGCCAUCUACUAGUGGCUGUUACUAUACUUCUGCUACAGUUAUACCAGGAGAACAGUGUUC